UUGUAAAAUAUUUUUCAUUAACUGAAAUAAAUAAAAAACUAUAAUUAAAAGAAAAAAAAUGAUAACUAACUGAACUGUAUUGUGUGCUUACAAAACUAACUUAAACAUAUAAAAUUCUGGUUAAAAUCCCUUCGUUUUCCUCAUUGUCAGAGUCUCA